CUCUCUGUAUCGUGUACAAAGGGUCUCAGUGUCAUUGUCAGGUGUAGUUCCUGAAACUGCAGGGCAUUUCAGCUCCCACAGUCCUUCUCGGCAUCUCAACCAAAAAUCUUUUAACGUGAGGAUGAAAUCUGGGGAGUCAAAGUACAGGUCUCGAAACUGCCACUGACCAAUGCAUUUAGCUGUACAGACACAUGAAAAUACAAGAAAAAGACGUAAAGUUAACACAUAUAUAUAUAUAUGUAUCUGGGGAGUCAAAGUACAGGUCUCGAAACUGCCACUGACCAGUGCAUUUAGCUGUACAGACACAUUAAAAAAAAUACAAGAAAAAGACGUAAAGUUAACAUAUAUAUAUAUAUAUAUAUAUAUAUAUAUAUAUCUGGGGAGUCAAAGUACAGGUCUCAAAACUGCCACUGACCAGUGCAUUUAGCUGUACAGACACAUGAAAAUACAAGAAAAAGACUUAAAGUUAACAUAUAUAUAUAUAUGUAUCUGGGGAGUCAAAGUACAGGUCUUGAAACUGCCACUGACCAGUGCAUUUAGCUGUACAGACACAUGAAAAUACAAGAAAAAGACGUAAAGUUAACAUAUAUAUAUAUAUAUAUA